rnacentral:lncRNA from 1 species
GCUGGCAGGACUCACUCCCCUUGGGGUAGCAGCUGUGGCCUCAGCAGGCACAGGAGGUAUCUGCUGGUGUUCACAAAGAGGAGCGGAGGGCUGGGGGCCAACCCCACAGCGAAGGCCGGUUAACCUCACCCUACAGAUGAAGAUAAUAGAGCAAGAAAAAGAAAUUGCAGAACUAAAGAAGCAGCUAAACCUCCUUUCUCAAGACAAAGGGGCAUGAAAGAGCACCAUUCUUAAAAUCUAAACCCUUUAAAAUCAGUUACGGCAAUUCACUUAAGGAGCUUGAGGGCCGUGUUAAAAGGAGCCAGGUUUUCACAAGACCUCAUCCACCUCUGCACAUUGGCUGGCACUGUCACACUGCAGCCUCCGAUCUGCUGGAGUACAGACCACAGCACCACGUCUGCUACGGUGAGUUCAUUCCCAGCGAGCCAAGGGCUCUUCCCAAGAGCAGAGUUCAUGGAGCGGAAAACAGCGGCUUUUUCUUUACUGCUUCCCUCUUUUAACUGAAAAAUCGCAAUAUCUACCCAGCUAUCUAUAAGGGUUGCGUUGACAGCAUUAUGCUUCUGGCCAAACAGAGAGAACAAGAAACGUGCAAUGUUCCCUUCGCCUUCGAUGGGGCACAUCGUCUGGAUGCUGAAUUUCAUCUGCGUCUUCGGCACUGAAAAGAAAAAACACGCCAGGUAGCAUCACCAGAGCAGCCCUGAGGGAAGUACUCGCACAGUGGGGAAGGGGACAGUCACCAAACACCACAGACUGAUGACAUGGGAAAGGGUGUUUUCAAGAAG